CACACUGGCCGGCUCCCUAGGGUGACUGAGCAGCUCCCGGCUGCUGCUGACUCACCAGCUGGCGCCCCGCGCUCCUGGGGAGCCACUGAUGUGAGCUCACCUGUGCGGCUCUGGGGCCCCAGCCACAUCCUGGCACUGGCCGGCUCCAGGAGGGAGCUGUGGCCUGGCGGGCACUCUGGUUCCUGGAGGGAACCGGAUGAAAUAAGGCUCCUUGUAUGGGCUUUCCGCUCAGCCUGUGAUUCCGAUUCGGUGUCCUGGGUCCGAGUGCAUGUCUGCUGUAGACACGAGGGCACUUCAGAAAGUCCACGAGAACGGGGCCGGCGCUGUGGCGGAACAGGUAAAGCUGCUGCCUGCAGCACUGGCAUCCCAUAUAAGGGUGCUGGUUCGCUUCUCGGCUGUUCCACUUCCCAUCUAGCUUUCCGCUAUGGCCUGGGAAAACAGCGAAAGAUAGCCCAAGUCCUUGGGCCCCUACACCCACGUGGUGGACCCAGAAGAAGCUUCUGGCUUCUGCCUGGCCCAGCUCCAGCCUUUGCAGCCAUUUGGGGAGUGAACCAGCGGGUGGAAGAUCUCUCUCUCUCUCUUUCUCUCUCUGCCUCUCUGUGACUCUGCCAUUCAAAUAAAUAAAUCUUUUUUUUUUUUGUAAAAAAAGAAAGUACAUGAGAAAAUGGAGUUAAAAGAUAUGUUUAUUGUGGUUCAGGAGUUAUGAAAUUUGAGCAUAAUUUUUUCAUAAUAUGCAUUUUCAUGAACUUUUGGAACACCCUUUGCACUAUGUGCUCAAUUAAUGUGUUGCUAAAACAAUUGCAAGACAAAAUACUAGGGGCAGCAUGGUGGCACAGCAGGUUAAGCCGCUGCCUGAGAUGCCAGCAUCCCACAUCGGAGCCCCAGAGGAAUCCCAGCUGCUCUGCUUCUGAUCCAGCUCCCUGCUAGUGUUCCUGGGAAAGCAGCAGAGGAGCUGCUACUUGGGAACAGAGUUCAGUGGGAACCAUGAAGAGGGAGCACCGACCAUUCCCUGGGCAUCAUCAGGUGUUGACAACUGAAUAAGAGAGCAUCGGGGGGAGAGUCUCUUACAGAUGAUUGGAGGUCACAAGGCCAUUUCGAGGUGGACGCUUGACCCAGCCGUUUAGAUGCCUACAUCCCAUAGAGGAGUGCCUGGUUUCAAUUCCUGGCUCUGGUUUCCAGUUCCAGUUCCCGGUAGGCAGCGCUGAUGAGGAACCACAGUAAGCUGGCUGGGCAGGGGCCUCCCAGGAUGUCUCUCCAGCGCUAUGAGCAUCGGCCUGGCAGGACCAGCUGUUUAAAAUGUGAACACUGGCUUGGAUUUAUGCCUUCCUUCUAAGAACAGCAGCUGGGAGU